GCUCCUCCUCCACCCGCGGCCGCGGAGACCGCGCACUUCUCUUCCUCGCUCACUCCUCCCCGCGUCCUCGCAGGAGCGACUCCCCACUGCCUCCGCUCCUCCGCGUCCUCGCCGGAGCAGCCGCGGCCGUCCUCCUCGCUCCCGCCGCUACGCCGUGGCCGUCCUCCUUCUUCCCCACCGCCGCGCCCCGCUGCCGGCGCUACGCCGCGUCCUCGCCGGAGCCGCCGCCGUAUCGUGCUUCUCCCACUCGGAUCAGCCGCCGGAGCCGACUUCGGCCCCUUCUCCACCGCCGGAACUGAACUCGACCUCGGCCCCUAUAGUACAAUGAACAAUCAGAUAAUUACAUUGAGGUGAUCUCACUCGCUGCCGUGCCUCCUCGCGACUCCCCGCCGCACGCCACCGCAUCGCGUGCCCCUCCGCUCCCAGACCGGCGCUCACCUCUCUCCUCCGUUCCACCAUCACAGGGGGCAGUGAGCCGGUGAAAGUCCCCGUAGUAAGACCAAGGAUUGUGGCUUCUGCGACGACCCCAAUUCCGUUGGGCUCCACGAUUUCUGACUCCCUCGGCCUCAACGGUGCCCCUUGCCCGUCUGACCUUUCUUUAUGUCUGUCGUUGAAGGAUUUGCAGUGGUGGUUGGUUAAUGGUUAGGCAGCUCUGAUUCAAGGAACUCUCUUAUAUUAUUUGGAUUAUGGGAGCUUUCUGUUCAUCUUUGCAAGCUGAUUACUCUGACCACUAUCAAGGUAAGGGUGGAUGGUCUGAACAUGGAGUACUGCGGUGGUCUGGUCAGCAAUAAACAGGUGGAUCGGUUGGUACCUGAUUCAAGCUAGCCACGGUCCAUCUCCAAGUAUAUUUUUCUAACCCAUUUACAACUUUGUCCAGUCCUACCAUUAGUUUCCAGUGAGUACAAACCAGUUUGAUUCAAGCUAAAUAAAGUAAUUCUUUUCUUCACAAUUCUUGUAGAAAAUAUUAGAAAAAUCCACUUUGAUUCAAGCUAUACAAAAAAUAAUGUAAAAAGAUCACGAUGAUUGUAUUUUUAGCACUUAAUGUUUAGUGGCAACGUAAGAGUUAAACCACCCAUAGUUUGUGCCUUCGUGGUAGUCCUAUACCUUGUGCGCUGGUUAGAUCCUAAUUGGAAUCGCCUCUAUUAUAUGGUCUUUGUAUGGGAGAGUUGUGUGCAAAAUAAAAUCAUAUUAUGUUCCUAAAUUUUUGCAACUUGUAAAGGCUCCUUCGGCUGCUGUCACCCAGCCACGGAAGCAUGAGCCAGGAAAUGUCGCAUAAGCUGAAUCUGAAAUGCCAUUCUUCUUUGAGUAAAUCCCUUAUGUACACAUGAAAACUCACCUAAUAUUUUCUAUACCCUCGAAUUUUACACGAUCCUCUGUGUACCCCUGAAAUUUCGUUUUGAUCCCUUCCAUGCCUCUCCCGUUAGGUUUCCAUUAGAUACGUUGCUCAAACCGUGUAUUGUGUUGUCAGUAUUUUUAGAAAAUACCAAAAUGCCCCUGCCAACCCUAACUAAAGUUCCCCUUUCCUUCUCCCGCAUCCUCUUCCACGCGAACGGCCUCUGCGCGCCGCCGUCCCGCUGCCCUCCGGCCACGCGCGUCGUCGUCCAGCCGCCCUCCCGCCGCGCGGGGCGCCGGCCACCACCCCUCUGGCCGCGCGCGCCGUCGUCCAGCCGCCGUCACGCCGCGUGGGGCGCCGUCGUCCAGCCGCCCUCCCGCCGCGCGGGCGUCGCCGGCCACCGCCCUCCCGCCGCACGAGCCGCCGGCUACCACGCCCCUGCCGCACGGGCAGUCGGCCGCCGCCCCUCCGGCCGCGCGCGCGCCGUCGUCCAGCCGCCGUCACGCCGCGCGGGGCGUCGCCGGCCACCGCCCUCCCGCCGCGCGCGCCGUCGUCCAGCCGCCGUCACGCCGCCACCGCCCCUCCCACCGCGUGAGCGUCGCCGGCCACCGCGCCCCCGCCGCACGGGCCGCCAGCCACCGCCCCUCCCACCGCGCGGGCCGCGGGCCGCCGCCCCUCCUGCCGCGCGGGCAUCGCCGGCCAUCUCCCUCCUGCUGCCACUCUAGAUGGCACUCUUCCAUCUACAGGGGUGUUUUAGACAUUAGGAACCACACAUAAUGUGAAAAUGAAGGAAACCUAAUGGAAAGGGCAUGGAAGGUAUCAAAGCAAAAUUUUAGGGGUACAGAGGGGAUCGUGUAAAAUUGGAGGGUAUAGAAGAGAUUAGGUGAGUUUUCAUGUGUACACAAGGGAUUUACUCUUCUUCUUUCAUUUUGCACCGUUGUGAAUUUGCGAUCCGAGAUGCGCUUUCCUGCCCUUAUGUGGCCACAUAAGCUGCAACUCUCCGAUCAAUGCCUCUCCUCACCAGCAAUAGUAGCGGGAGAAGCCUAGGUUCAGCAAUCAGGAGGGAAGGCAGCAAGGCAAGCAAUGGCAUCCUCUGCAAUCAAUAAAGAUGGAGCUUGGCUCAUAAAUGCAAUGGGUGAUUUAUGGCCUUUAAAGGGUUUCACUGCAUAAGAUCAAGAUGAGUAUAUUUGAAGUAGCGGGGUGAAGAGAAGCUAUUAUGUACAUGGUGGAGCUGGAGAUGUGGAGUCAUUUUUUUGGAUUAUAUAAUGUAGACAGUGGAGUUCAUUUCAAUGCCAUAAAGACAUAUAUUGCUCUGAGCUUUUCAAAUGUUUAUCGAGCUUUAUAUGACAAAUUAUGUAGCUGCUUUGCAUUUUUUAGUGUUUAAAAGCGGUUAUAAAGUAGUAUGUCAAAUUACAUUAGUAGAUAACUCUGAGUAUGUAUGUUUUGUGUGAUAUAUAUUACAGGAAAAUGCAAUAAAUUUUGUCUUUA